CGGGGAUUAGCGCAGCCCGGUAGCGCGCAUCGUUCGGGACGAUGAGGUCGGCAGUUCAAAUCUGCCAUCCCCGACCA
rnacentral:tRNA from 2 species